GUCGGAUCACGAUAAAAUUUUAAUAUGUUGUUCUAUGAGCAUAAUGAGGACCCUAGGAAGUAUUGGAUCUGAAAUCUGAUGUGUAGAUCUUCCAGAUUGAAUUUCUAAGGUUGUGGACCCGACGGUUAACUUUUGGUCAACUGAAUCUAAAUCCAUCUAGCAUAUCCUAUAUGAUGUGUACAAGCUACAAUUACGUGUUCUAUCGAUAAAAUUCUAAGACAUGAUUUGUUAUUUGUUCUAGGCGACAAUCGUUCGUGACACCUCGAUAGUCAUGCUAGGGAGUCGUAGCGCGGACUCCAGGUGAGUGACUUUAAUAUAUGUGAUAUAGUUAUUACCCUGAUUUCUUAUAUUAUUAUCCUUUGUGGAUAUGACUCUGUUUUAUAAACAUGUUUUCUAUAAAAUUGAUAUUUUUAUAUUUAGCCAUCGAUCUAUUUUAUUAAAUGUGAUUUGACUUAUGUAUUGGAAAUGUUUGUGAAAUGUGAGGGCUAGUAAUGGACUUUUAACCCAUUGUCAUGGGGAUUUGUUUACUUCGAUAUUGUUUCAUUUCUCGCUUCAUUGACCUGUUCUAAAUUUAGUACUUGUGCUUUGUUUCAUUUCAUUAAGCCUUUGUAAAAUGAGUAACUUGAUUCAUGUCUUGUUCCUUCAAGCCAUUUUUAUGUUCCUUGGACUUCUGCUUGGUUCCUUUCAGUGAUUCAAAACUGGGUUCCGUUGGGGUUCCGUUGAGUGGUCUGAUACCUUGCUCCGUCUAGAUUCUGUUGAGAGGUCUGAAAUCCCUUGUGUUCCGCGAUUCCAUUGAGUGGUUCAGAAUCGUAUCUUGCCUUGGAUUUAGUUGAGUGGUUCGAUAUCUAUUGUACUCCGUGAUUUUGUUGAGUGGUUUGGAAUCGUAUCCUGGUUUGGAUUUCGUUGAGUGGUUCGAAAUCCCGCUUGGUAUUUUGAUUCCGUUGAGUAGUCCGGAACCCGAUUUUGUUGGAUUUCAUUGAGUGGUUCGAAAUCACAUUCUUCAAAGAUGUAGGCUUCGACCGAACUGUGUUGCUCUAGCCCUGCAUUUUGGCGUAUUGCAUAAGUUAUUGAUUCAUAACCUUGUGUUUGACUUCAGACGGGUCAAUGGAUGUCUACGUGACUCCUUCGGGAUUUUCAAUGGUUUAUUUAUGAUAUUAUAAGGUAUGAUUUUAUAUUUGAUGUUUAUAAACCGUGAUUGAUGGAUGGUUUUUAUUAUUAUCACAUACGUCGUAUUUUUGUUACUCACACGAGCUUCGCGGGUUAUCGGGGUUGUUGUUUGCCCGGUGCACCAUUCCCAUAGUGUAGGGGGCGAUUGUGCAUGUUUAGUUGAUACGUGGAGCUUUGGGGUAGCAGACAGAGUUCAGAGAACUUAGAGUGUUAGGUUACCCCUAUACCUUUCCUUAAACAAAUGUGAUCAUUGUUAUUUUCAGUUUAGUAUUCAGUUUGUAUUUUCUGGCAUUCCCCUAUAGUCUACUAUCACGCAUCGAUCUUGGACGUAUAUUGACAUCGGGGCGUGACAAUACGCAUUCUAGGGAUGAUGAGGAUUUGUUGUAUUUGGUACAUUUUGAUAGACGACCAUAAUUUAGUUGGAUUCCGGUGAGUGUCUGGAAUCCUUUCUCUUACUCAUUCUCAUAAGGUUAGUUCAACCCUAGAUUCAAGUGAAUAGGAAUUGCUCACAGUAGACAUUGUGUUAUAAAUUUGGUUUAUCACGUUAUUACUUGGAAUCUAGGUAGGGAAGCAUGUGGGAUUCCUUUAUUAAAUUUUGUGAAUUGAUAUGUGAUCUUAUUGAUUGAUUAAAAUAGUUCAAUGUUCAUAUCGUGCAUCUUUGAUUAUUGGAAUUGAUUACUUGGAGUGAUUGUGGAAUGAUGUUGGAUAUGAUGGUUGUUACUAUGGU
rnacentral:lncRNA from 1 species